GUGGAUUAGAUACCCUGGUAGUCCUAGCCCUAAACGAUCAGGACUUGGGGUGCCGCCCGUUCGGGCGUCGUCCCGGAGCUAACGCGUUAAGUCCUGCACCUGGGGAGUACGGUCGCAAGACUGAAACUCAAAGGAAUUGACGGGGGCCCGCACAAGCGGUGGAACAUGUGGUUCAAUUCGACGCUACGCGAGGAACCUUACCUGGGCUCGAAAUGCUAGUGACCAGCUUUAGAAAUAUUGCCUUCCCGCAAGGGACACUAGUAUAGGCGCUGCACGGUUGUCGCCAGCU
rnacentral:rRNA from 1 species